UCUGGAGGGAGAGACGGCCUGAGUUCUCAGGUUGCAGAAGUCUGAGACAGGAUUCCAACGGAACUAGAAGUGGAAGAGAAUGAAGAUUCUGAACUUAGAGCUACGAGGACUUGGAUUGUCUCCCUCAGGGGUUCUCGCUCUGGAACCGUGCAUCCUUCUCCUGCUGGCCACAGGAUGAAUCCUGACCUAAAGGACCCUGUCCCUCCUGCGGGUUUCCAAGAGCUUACCUUUCUUCGUCUGGGCAGGUCGGAUCCCCGGCGCAGUACGGUGACCGGUCGGGGGCGGGCUGAGCGCUGCUGGUCGACAUAAAACCCCUGCCAAUGCUCUGACCUUCAGGCUGCACCCUCCUAUCCACCCCAACACGCUUCUCCAUCCUCCAGCCCAGAGCAGGCUCCCCCAGCUACAGGCUUUACACAGAGCAGAUGGAAAAGGAGAGGAAAGAUUCUCCUUUCUGGUUCUCUUGUCCUUUGUCUAAUAAAGUGUGAU
rnacentral:lncRNA from 1 species